rnacentral:rRNA from 1 species
UACGUAGGGUGCUAGCGUUGUCCGGAAUUAUUGGGCGUAAAGAGCGUGUAGGCGGCCAGGUAAGUCUGGUGUGAAAACUCGAGGCUUAACCUCGAGAUGUCAUCGGAAACCAUCUGGCUAGAGUCCGGAAGAGGAGAGUGGAAUUCCUGGUGUAGCGGUGAAAUGCGCAGAUAUCAGGAAGAACACCAAUGGCGAAAGCAGCUCUCUGGGACGGUACUGACGCUGAUACGCGAAAGCGUGGGGAGCGAACAGG